GAUGAACGCUGGCGGCGUGCCUAGUACAUGCAAGUCGAGCGAACGGACGAGAAGCUUGCUUCUCUGAUGUUAGCGGCGGACGGGUGAGUAACACGUGGAUAACCUACCUAUAAGACUGGGAUAACCUCGGGAAACCGGAGCUAAUACCGGAUAAUAUUUUGAACCGCAUGGUUCAAAAGUGAAAGACGGUCUUGCUGUCACUUAUAGAUGGAUCCGCGCUGCAUUAGCUAGUUGGUAAGGUAACGGCUUACCAAGGCAACGAUGCAUAGCCGACCUGAGAGGGUGAUCGGCCACACUGGAACUGAGACACGGUCCAGACUCCUACGGGAGGCAGCAGUAGGGAAUCUUCCGCAAUGGGCGAAAGCCUGACGGAGCAACGCCGCGUGAGUGAUGAAGGUCUUCGGAUCGUAAAACUCUGUUAUUAGGGAAGAACAUAUGUGUAAGUAACUGUGCACAUCUUGACGGUACCUAAUCAGAAAGCCACGGCUAACUACGUG
rnacentral:rRNA from 1 species